AAAGCGAAUGUGCAAGUUUUGUGUUUUGCACUUCACUCGACAUUUAGCUCAAAGUGUGUGUGAUCCAAGCUGCACUGAAUCACUGAAUACAAAAGGGAUGGAUUCAGAGCUGGCGACUGCUGAAGUUCAAAUGUUAAGACAAAGGAAGACGUGUAACCUAAAAGCCCAGAUCAACUCGACACCUUCACACCUGUCAAAGAGCACAAGUGUGACACUUUAACAGGUACAGACACUUCAUACUGAGCUUUCUUUACAAAAGUGCUCCUUGCAAAACAGCUCUUUACAGCAGGAGAGACAUCCUGACAGACCGAGUGUGGUUCAGGGCCCUGACAGGAAAGCACAAACAUCUCAUGCUAACCCGUGCAGCAGUUUGGAGGACAAAGCACCUCUGUCAGCCUCACAGCAGAUGUCUACAAUAGGUUUCUGUGCUUGGCACAGCCAAAGGACAAACAAUUACAUUUGGGGUUGUUGGUUGGGAUUGGGGAAAGGUAGACGUAUGUAUCUGCAUGUUUUCCAUGUGUUGUAAAUGCAUAAAAAACAAACAUCCUCACAUGUAUGAAUUCUAUAGAGUCAUUAUCAUUUGACAUCAUAAUUAUUCACCACAUGUGUCCAGAGCCUGUGAUUACUCUUGCAGAACACUAGUGCUAGUACUCCCAACGAGUAACAUGCUAAACCACAGCAUGGAGAAUGAGAUCCUGCAAUAGACCUCAAUUGCUAAAAACAUGCAUGUGUGCUUUUUAAAAUAUGUUAUUGAAUUAUUCAUAGUGCUAUUUUUAAAAAGGAUGCCAAACUUAAGUUGCUGUGUGCCCCUAUGUUUAAAAAAAGUCUGUAUCCAAAGUAUAUUUUAUUCUUUUUCUCCAUUCAGAUACUGUGAGAAUCUGCAUGGAGAAAGAGAAGACAAGGAAUCACAUAAAGAAUUCACAGCCCCGGUGCUUCCCAUUUUGCCUGUAAGUGAGCCUUGUCUAGAACUUCUCCAACUUCACCUUUCAGCCAGAAGUUCAGCUUUCUUGGCCUGCUACAACUCUCUCGUCAGUGAACCUGCUCUGCCAACCGCCUGCCAGUCUGCCUUUCACCUGCCACGUACUUUCCCGGAUGAGCCACGCACCCCUGGGAAACUUCAGUGCAGCUCACCAUCACUCGCUUCAAAGUGUAAACAAAGCUAUUUCUGUUAUCAGCUUUGGUCUGAGUACUGCCUUUUGUUUUGUUUUGUGUGGCAUGUACAUUUUAUAUGCAUAAAAUCUUGACACCUAUAAUGACUAUUUUGGCUUGUUAGGCCCCUGUGGUUGUGUCUCAAACCCUCUGCAGUGUUAGAUUUUGACUGCUUUGUGCACUUGUUCACGUGAAUGCUUUUACUAAGUAAGACUGGUAAGACUGAUUAUGCUCUCUUUGCAUUUAACCUCCUAGGACCUGGCAUCUACAUAUGUGGACAUCACAUUUUGGGUUGUCUGGACCAAAAUACUAAAUUUUGCUCUACAAGGGCCUGAUAUCCACUUACUAGGACAUUAUACUACCACUGUUCUAUCCAAAUUUAAAACGAAUGUCCUCACAUGUGGAUCUCAUUUUUCUCAGAAACAAAAAUAAGGUAAAAAAAAAUCUGGCAAUUCUUUUUUUUUACAUUCAUCAGGUCCCAAUCAGCCCGAAUAACAAAGAAAAAUUAAAAAUGCAUGCCAUGAAAGAGUUUGGGUCUUAGGAGGUUAAUACUGUGUCACAUGUUUUUAAAGUUUUAGCAGUUGAGUUGUACAUGAAGCUUAAGAACUUGAUUUACUCACGUGCAGCACCGCUGGAACCUCUGUUCACACUGCAUUAAAAUCAUACAUAUGAAAAUGUAUAUUUCAAACUGAAAUGUUUUAUCUUUAUGUAAUUUUAAAUGCUGCUUGCUUAAUUUCUUUGCUGUUGUUAGAAUUGUAUUCAGCCCAUUUAAUCUUUGAUUUAUGCACUCAUGUACACACCAAUCACUGAAUCUUUUUCUAAAUUAUUAUUUUUACUGUCCUAAGUUUCAAGUUGUGGCAAAUCUUCUACCCACCCAGUGGCAUGGAGUUGUUUCCAGUAGUAUCAAUAAUAACUAGGUGAAAAUUUAUACACAGGGUUAGGACAAGGACCUAAGUUUAGCUUUAAUUAGUUGGUUGGUAUCAGGUACGUAGCCAGCUGGCUACUAAUGAAUGCUAUUCAUGCAGAUAUAGAGCAGAGAUACAAUUAUGUGGCAUAAAUGGCAAAACCCCACUUUUACAAAAGAUGUCCAAAAGUCAAGGUUUAGCUUGAAAAAAAAAAACCCCUCAAAAACCUCUCAAAAAAACAAACAACCCCCCCCCCCCCCCAAAAAAACCCCCCAAAAAACAAAAUUACUUGGCUAAUAAUCUAAAGAGUCUGAAACAGUAUCCAGUCAGCCAAUGAUAAAAGAAAGUAACACUGAAUGAAGUAACAUAAUUUCCAUGAAAAAAAAGUAGAAUUAAGUAUACACAUGUUCAGUGUCAUAAUUAUCAUGGCAAACAGGCUACAGUCGUGCUGUUUUGUGUUUUUGUGGAUAGUAGAAAUUCAUGGAUUUGAGGUCAGAGCAACCAAACUGGGAGCCCUUGUAGAUGAUGCGCUCUGCCCCGCUGUCGCUCAGAGUUUUGAGAAAAUAUUUAUUUCCCUUUUAUUAAUGAAUGUUUUUACAGUGGUUUACAGGUAUUCUCUGUUGUUCUGGAACAUUUUUUUUUGUUUUAUUACACUUUUUAAGUUAUCAGCUGAUACAUUUCUUAGAACAGCUCAAACAUACAGAACAACCUAGGCAAACAAAAUAAAAAUAAAAAACAGGCAGGACCUUUACAUUAUUUGUCAAAAAAGAUGUUUUACAUAAAAAAAUAUAGUAAUUUCCAUCAAAAUGACAAACUUCUUUGACACUGUACAAAUCUGGACAUGUCGCUGUUUAGAUGUUUGACAGAAUGACAGCAGUUUCUGAGAUUUUGUUUCUAAUCUUCUAAUUUCCUGAAAAUGUCUCAUCUUUUAAGUGACCUAAUUGCUUUUGCAGACAGUGAAUGCUUCCACUAUUAGUGUUGCUUGACUCCUGUUAUGUAUUGAAGAAUAUUUAUCACAAUCUGAAGAUGCUGAAUUGUUUUGCAUUGUUCUUUAAAAUGAGAAAGAGCUGUUGUUAUAUUUGCACAUAUUGUGAGUGGGAUAAACAUUUUUCCUGCAGCGAUUACACAACACAGUCAGCUACUUAGAGGAAUAUCAGUUGAAAACAGAUUGUCAUCAGUAUCGCACCUCGUGCUCUCCCCUGUAGUGUUACGGGAAGAACCAAGCGGAUCCAGCAACUAUAUUUAACUGCUAUCAGAGCAGACUCCUCCAUGUUCACAGUUUGUUUUAACUGUGUUGUGCUCAAGUUCUAUGAAUACUACGACAAAAUGUUACAACCAGUCAUAUCACUGACUUACACCUGUGUCCUUGGCAGAUUUUGACAGUUAUGUGGUUGUUUCUGCAUGCAAUCAUCUACACAGCGAAAUAAUGAAAGGAUCUUUCAUGGUGUAAAACUAUUUUUAGCUGAUAGAAACAUUAAAUUGAACAUUUGUUUAAAUUAUAGACAGUGUUGCGUCAUAGUUUACCUAAAUGCACUAAAACAAUUGUAAUGCUAACAAAAAUGAGGACUCCUCUUAUGAUAAAUGCAUCGCCUGCAGAAUGAGAGAAUGCGCCUGUGCUCCUCUUAGCUAUGUC
ensembl:lncRNA